CCGGCAUGCUGGCCGCCGCUCUGCUGACGGCCACGGCGGCCCUGGCCGAACCGGCUGACUGACGCACGGCUGGCCGAGGUUGUGCGGCUGGCUCUGGGCUGGCUGCCUAGCUGCAGUGUGCCGGUGCGGCUGGCCGUCGUCACUCUCCUCAGGGUCACUGCAGGUCGAGAGCUCCGGCCCGGACCCGGCCGCGCCGUCUCGGCAGAUGUGCUGCCCGAGCUGUACCGAUGCCUGCUGACGGACGGGGAUCGACUGGUCCGCCAGCGCGCCCUGGAAGCGUUCGCCAG